rnacentral:lncRNA from 1 species
AUGAGUUCCUCCAGUCCCCAGAGCCAGGCUCCACAUCCAACAGCUGACCUAUGAGUUCCUCCAGUCUCCUGAGCCAGGCUCCACAUCCAACAGCUGACCUAUGAGUUCCUCCAGUCCCCAGAGCCAGGCUCCACAUCCAACAGCUGACCUAUGAGUUCCUCCAGUCUCCAGAGCCAGGCUCCACAUCCAACAGCUGACCUAUGAGUUCCUCCAGUCUCCAGAGCCAGGCUCCACAUCCAACAGCUAACCCACACACUGGCAAGUUGGCUCUAACUAGGGUAGCUCUGGUCACAAUACCAGUAUCACUAUACUAUGAUACUCCACUUUCCAAGGCAAAAAGGAAACACGAAACUGUUUUAACUCUUUAAAAACCUGCUUUAUCUAAAAUAUUGUUUUCUGUAGCUUGAAAAACAAACAAAUGUGACUCUGGGUGACAACAUAAUGCUGCUUGUUUGUAUCCAACAUUAGGACUUCUGAGUAUAGCGAUUCUGCUAUUGAGACACUACUAGGGAGUUGGUAGACAAUGCCUCUAACUACUGGUCUGGGGUCAGACAUUGUUUGAUGGGUAAUCUGAUCCUAGAUCUGUGGCUUAGAGGAAACUUCUACUCAGAGCUGAUCUGACGUCCUGUUUUUAACCACACUGGUUGUUUUGUUGUCUGACUCUGCUCUCAACACCCUGGGGACAACGAGAGUGAACCUCAGACAUGUUGUGAAAGGUCAUCAUGAUUGUACAGAUUAUUUGUAUGUGCGCUAUACUUAAGAGAAUAAAGUCGCCACAGGUUGUGUUUUUACACAGUACUGUGUCAUCAGGUUGUGUUUUUACACAGUACUGUGUCAUCAGGUUGUGUUUUUACACAGUACUGUGUCAUCAGGUUGUGUUUUUACACAGUACUGUGUCAUCAGGUUGUGUUUUUACACAGUACUGUGUCAUCAGGUUGUGUUUUUACACAGUACUGUGUCAUCAGGUUGUGUUUUUACAAAUCAAAUCAAAUGUAUUUUUAGCCCUUCUUACAUCAGCUGAUAUCUCAAAGUGCUGUACAGAAACCCAGCCUAAAACCACAAACAGCAAGCAAUGCAGGUGUAGAAGCCACGGUGGCUAGGGAAAAACUCCCUAGAAAGGCAAAAACCUAGGAAGAAACCUAGAGAGGAACCAGGCUAUGAGGGGUGGCAGUCCUCUUCUGGCUGUGCCAGGUGGAGAUUAUAACAGAACUUGGCCAAGAUGUUCAAAUGUUCAUAAAUGACCAGCAUGGUCAAAUAAUAAUAAUCACAGUGGAUGUGAGAGUGCAACAGGUCAGCACCUCAGGAGUAAUUGUCAGUUGGCUUUUCAUAGCCGAUCAUUCAGAGUAUCUCUACCGCUCCUGCUGUUUCUAGAGAGUUGAAAACAGCAGGUCUGGGACAGGUAGCACGUCCGGUGAACAGGUCAGGGUUCCAUAGCCGCAGGCAGAACAGUUGAAACUGGAGCAGCAGCACAGCCAGGUGGACUGGGGACAGCAAGGAGUCAUCAUGCCAGGUAAUCCUGAGGUAAUCCCCGAGAGAGAGAAAGAAAGAAAGAAAGAGAAUUAGAGAGAGCAUACUUAAAUUCACACAGGACACUGGAGAAAUACUCCAGAUAUAACAGACUGACCCUAGCCCCCAGACACAUAAACUACUGCAGCAUGAAUACUGGAGGCUGAGACAGGAGGGGUCAGGAGACACUGGCCCCAUCCGAUGAUACCCCCGGACAGGGCCAAACAGACCCUACUGUGUCA